UAGGGAAUCUUCCACAAUGGGCGAAAGCCUGAUGGAGCAACGUCGCGUGUGUGAUGAAGGGUUUCGGCUCGUAAAACACUGUUGUAAGAGAAGAAUGACAUUGAGAGUAACUGUUCAAUGUGUGACGGUAUCUUACCAGAAAGGAACGGCUAAAUACGUGCCAC
rnacentral:rRNA from 1 species